UACAGAGGCCCCAAGCGUUACUGAGAAUCACUGGGCUUAAAGGGUGCGUAGGUGGCGCGUUAAGUCCGUUGUGAAAUCCCUGGGCUCAACCCAGGAAAUGCUUCGGAUACUGGCGUGCUUGAGGCUAGUAGGGGUCACUGGAACUGACGGUGGAGCGGUGAAAUGCGUAGAUAUCGUCAGGAACGCCAAUGGUGAAGACAGGUGACUGGACUAGAUCUGACACUGAGGCACGAAAGCGUGGGGAGCGAACGGG
rnacentral:rRNA from 1 species